UGAAGACGUUGCAAAUGCAGAAGAGUUUUCCAAUCUUGGCACUAUUUUUGACAUGUGCAAGUUCGUUUAGUUCUUAUGUGCCUUUCUCGGGAUUCGAGGGAGUCCAACCACAGUCGCUUACCUCCGAGGUUUACCUACUUGCGCUCAGUUUUCGCAUCUCGCUUAACCCUAUUUGCAACGAUACUUGUUCCGAUGUGGGUGCGUGCAAGAUCCUGGAUUUUUAGCGCCUGAAAAAAAAUUACCAUGACCGAGACACAUAUCGGUGCUCGUAAUUUUUUUCAGGCGCGGAAAAAAUUCGAGAAAUUCGGAAAAAAUUCAAGAAAAUUCGGGGGAAUUUUCUUGUUUACUAAGACAUUUGGGCGUUGUGGAUGUGGAAGGACGACUCAUCUCAUGCACGGGACACCAUUCCAAGGAUUACCUAGCCACGAUAAAUAACGUAGUUGACGAUUUGUAAUUGACGUUUUUCAAUUUAGCGUAUGACAAUACGCAGAUCGUGAAGAACCUGUUCGCAGCGGUUAGGAACGCUACUUUCGUUUUCUACGAAAACAUGACUGAGCAACGGUGUCCGCUGUUGUAUUAACAACACAGGGCUGCCGUGUUCAACGAGAAACAGAAAGGAAAUCAGUCCUCCGAAUGGCUUUCGGGAUCUGGCAUAAUACGGGUCCCGUAAUCACUAUUCAGUCUUAAAACAAAAUAAAGGGGAAUGUUGGCGGAGGAAUGCCCGUUAAAAUGCAACAAGUGCCAAUUCGCAUUUCAGUGGGACGGAAACAGCCCUGUUUGUGCACUGCAUCUUUGAACACGAUAAUAUAAUUAUUUGGUGAUACGAGCCGUUCCGUCUCUAACAGAACCGAAUCGAUCAAGAGUCCAUCCAUUUUUGCAGCAGAAAUACGGUCGUCGGCGGUUGGAAGUGGCAGCAUAAACACCGACGUCGAGACCGCAUACAUACGGCCGACGGUAUUUUUUUGCUGGCUCUUCGUCCGUAGACAGAACCGGGAGGAUCGGAACCAGUGAAGCACUAUUCUACUUCUUCGACGAUCAGGCGUGGAGAGUGCGGCUGAAAAGCCCUCAGGAGUUUCGGUUGCAUGUGUGUUAGACAGAGCGUUAUGGUUAAUACGAAGGGCAGUUGUAUGUUCAUAACUUCAUGGCAGGAACAUCCAACUGCCUUUCUUAAUAACCGCAACGUAACUUCAAGGUUCCCUGUAAAUCCCUCAGCCAGCGUAUGAUGUGCCAGUUGAACUGCUCCGCGCGUCCCAGUCAUGGGCCGGUGAUUCGAUGGUGACGCUCUUCGUAGCGGAUGUCGUGAUCCUGCUUAAGGGAAGUGGUCCGGUACACGGUACCAUUCGUGUACAUUCACGAAAACUAUCACUUUCGCGCACUCCCAGGCACUUUUUUAUUUCGGUUUAUGACAUUCUGUAGCCAAAAGAUUUGUAUACACUGGCUUGAAAACGUUUGUGCGCGCAACAUCCGGUUCGGGAGUUAUGGUUGUUAGAAAAUUCCAAAAAGUUUAAAUGUGUUCAGGUGUACCAAAAGUCUCAUUAUGGACCGAUCUCCCUCAAAUUUUGCAGGUAAAUGUACAUAACCACGAAGAACGUUUAAAAAUCAUCCAUGGUAGAACAAUCCAUUGUUCUAGCAUGUUUUUCAAAUUUUAAAAUGAAUUUCAAAAAUUUUAAAAUUCAUUUUAAAACUGAAAAAAAGUCAGCGAAGUCUGGAUCGGUGUAAAAACGAUCUUCAUGGUUAUGUGCAUUUUCGUGCAAAAUUUGAGGGAGAUCGGUCCACAAUGAGACUUUUGGUACCAGUACACCUGAAUGCAUUUAAACUUUUUUGAAUUUUCUAACAGCCAUAAUUCCCGAACCGGAUGUUGCGCGCACAAACGGUUUACGCGCCAGUGUAUACAAAUCUUCUGUCAACAUAAUGUCAUAAACCGAAACAAAAAGGUGUUUGGGAGGGCGCGAAAGUAAAAGUUUUCGUGCAUGUACACGAAUGGUACCAUGUACCGGGCCACUUCCUUUAACGCCAUGGCGUAUAUUAUGGUCAGUGCACGAUUUUCUGGUUAAAUCUUCUGCGUUGUAUCUGAUGCACAGCCGAGGUUUGCGUAGUUGCUCUGAGGAAACCGUUGGGAACAGUCGGAAGCCGUUCGGUUGUAUAAGAUUAAGAUCCACAACCGGGCAGUGUACAGUCACUGUACAGACCUCCGCCAUACCUGGUUGAAAUGAUCGACUUCGAGGACCUCUCAUCGCAGUACAAUCUCCGGAAGCCGAAACGAAUCCAAGCCAGGGUGAAACAGAAAAUCGGAGAAAGAACUUUUUUGAGCGUAUUCAAAAUUAAAUGUACAUAUGCUCAGCGUUGGCGGUUCUUGAUUUCUGAAGUUUGCUCUGAAAACUGUUGAUCUGUUUCUGUUGAACUGUUCUGUUGAUCUGAUCUUAAUGAUUUUUUCAAAUCUGUUUUAAUAAUCUCCUUUAUAAUAUUUCGCUGCAUUUUUUACCGACCAGACAUUGAAGUCCUUAAACGGGUCUUCUUCUCCUGAUACAUGA